rnacentral:lncRNA from 1 species
AUGCAGCUCGUUGAAGACGUUAAUUAUGCCAAAUUAAGCAAAGAAGCGGUUGAGGGGGUAGGAGCUCCAUCGUUUAAGUAUCGAGGAGCUGCACCAGCUGGAGAAGUCCCUUGAAGCUGGAUUGGGUCGGGUUGUUGCAAAAAAGGUCCAUUAUCUCUUACUUCUUUCUUCUGAUCAUUGUAAUUUGUUGUUGUGGCCAUUUUCCAGUUUGAUAAACGCAACGCUUACCCAAAAUUCUUACAAAUAUUCUGACUGGAGUAGUUGGAUAAAACUGCAGUGAUGCAGUGAUCGAAUGAUCAAGCAGACAUAUGGAACUCCUACGUGGCAUGACAAAUUAAAUGCAUAUGUGUCACACCAAGUGGCUUUUGUAGCAACACUUGUGUGAUUUAUAAUGGUGUUUUCUGUAAAUUCCUAAAUGGAUAUCACUACAAAAAGCCACGUAGACUGACACCUGUACAUUCUGUCAUACGUUGCAUUCGCCUGAACUCGAAUUUGCUUGUAAAUUUUGUUUGGUUAUAUUUUU